AUUGAACGCUGGCGGCAUGCUUUACACAUGCAAGUGAACGGUAACAGGCCUUCGGGUGCUGGCGAGUGGCGAACGGGUGAGUAAUGCAUCGGAACGUACCCAGAGGUGGGGGAUAACGCAGCGAAAGCUGUGCUAAUACCGCAUGUGAUCUGAGGAUGAAAGCGGGGGACCGAGCAGCAAUGUUUGGCCUCGCGCCUUUGGAGCGGCCGAUGUCGGAUUAGCUAGUUGGUGGGGUAAAGGCCUACCAAGGCGACGAUCCGUAGCUGGUCUGAGAGGACGACCAGCCACACUGGGACUGAGACACGGCCCAGACUCCUACGGGAGGCAGCAAUGGGGAAUUUUGGACAAUGGGCGCAAGCCUGAUCCAGCAAUGCCGCGUGCGGGAAGAAGGCCUUCGGGUUGUAAACCGCUUUUGGCAGGAACGAAACGGUGUCCGCUAAUACCGGGCGCUAAUGACGGUACCUGCAGAAUAAGCACCGGCUAACUACGUG
rnacentral:rRNA from 1 species